ACCUGCUACAGCUGCCUCAAAGAAUAUUGGAACAAAUUGUUUUUAUAUGUCUGUUCUACCAGGGGAAGUCUUCACAUGUUUUCAAUAGGAAUCUCCCCUAAUUCACCUAUGAGUUUGAGGCUUGCCAAGAUGGUUUUCCUGAGUAUGGCUGCUGAGUAUACCUUGGAGUCACAGGGUCCUGGAUUAGAGAGACUCCAAUCAGUCAGCCAACUUUUGCAUUUCUCUCUCUUUUUUAGAAACUCCUAGGAAUAUUUCUCCCUCAUAAAACCUGGUUAAUUGAUAAAGGUUCUUCCUACGUAUGUGAUUCCCAUUACCUAUGAGGGUGUGGAGGGGUUGAGAGUCUUGUGGUGAGUAUUUUCAGCCAAUAUAAAAUAAAACAGAGAGGCAAAGCUCCA
rnacentral:lncRNA from 1 species